CCCCCCCCCCCCCCCCCCCCCCCCCCCCCCCCCCCCCCCCCCCCCCCCCCCCCCCCCCCCCCCCCCCGCGGAGGGCGGCGGCGGCCACCACCGAGGAGCGGCGGCGGCAAAGUUUUGGUGUGGGGGGCCAGAGGCGCGGAGGGGAAUUACGAUCGGUGCCGGCGAGGGAUUCCCAGACACCGCCAGCAAAGGAGGGACAUAGAUUUACCAAGUGAAGAAAACAAAAAGGAGUUGAAGCAAGUACAACUAUCAGGCUUUUCCUGUACUGAACUUUCUAUUUAAAGGACUGUAAAGAAGGCACGCUUAAGGUAAUACUGUUUCCAGGAAGGUGAGAGCUUUAUUUCUUAAUCACUUCU
ensembl:lncRNA